rnacentral:rRNA from 1 species
UACGAAGGGGGCUAGCGUUGUUCGGAUUUACUGGGCGUAAAGCGCACGUAGGCGGGUCGUUAAGUCAGGGGUGAAAUCCCGGAGCUCAACUCCGGAACUGCCUUUGAUACUGGCGACCUUGAGGCCGGAAGAGGUUAGUGGAAUUCCCAGUGUAGAGGUGAAAUUCGUAGAUAUUGGGAAGAACACCAGUGGCGAAGGCGGCUAACUGGUCCGGAUCUGACGCUGAGGUGCGAAAGCGUGGGGGAGCAAAACAGG